UAAUUUGUAUUCAAAGCGAUAUAAAUGCUGUUUCAGAAUUUUUAAUGAUUUCAGGUCUCUUAAAAACUCUAAAUAAGAUUUCACCAAAUUUAAUUUUGUUGGUUUCUUUAUUUUGAUUUCUACCUCCCAUUUCCUAACUAUUCCAAUUUCACAUUAGCAACUUUUUGUCUGUAAAUGCAUAUUGACCAGAAGGUGGAAUAUAAUCUUCUUUAUAUUAUUAAAGUUAUAUUGGUUUGUGACUUCUGCUAAUUUUGCUCACUUUGAGUUACUGCAGUGGGGUAAUUUUAGAGGUUUUUUUACAAAAUUACCUUUAUUAUAACUACACACUGAAAUUUCUGCUCCUUGAUUAGGAAAAAGAAAUCACUCUGCUUUUCACUAUAGAUUAAGCUUUUAAAUUCUCCUCUCCUCUCCUCUCCUCUCCUCUCCUCUCCUCUCCUCCAGUUCUGGAAACAAAAGAUAUUUGAAUUAUCUGUUGUGAAAGUCAGUAGUGGUCUUUGUUUUAGGAUGUUCCAAAUGUCAUCAUGUGAAAACAUCCUGAACUCAUACAACUGAAAUCUUAUGGGUAAAAAAAAAUUAUUUUUCUCUUGUCCUUUUAUGUCUGAAGGGCAAACAUAAUUUCUACGUACUUUCUAUGUACUUUUAACACUUUUAAAGUGUUAAAGUUUAAAAAAAUCAUUCAUUAUAUGCUACUAGUACCUCAGGGUUUGAAUUUGUGUCAACAUUAAUAAAAAAUAAUAUUGCCAGACAUUGUAUUUUAAGAACAUAUAUGAAUAAAAUUCUGGAAAUACAUUUGUACUUUCAAACUAAUGGUUUUGAAUUUUAUGUAAACAUUGGAUAAGUUUUCAUAUUCCUUUUUUUCCACCCACUGGCAGCUGGUGCUUCCUUUCCUCCUCAAAAUAUUCUCUGUCACUCCCAAAGGAAGAACAGAAAUGCAGCGUGACCUCUGUGAGUGAGACAGGAAAUAAACAAAUUCUCCCCUUGUACUUGAGCACUUUUGAUGGACCAGCAUAUUCCCAUGAGAGAGGAGAGCUCGGAGGAGAAGGCCACAACCACAGUGAGCUGGAGAAAAAUGACACUGUAAAGAAAACUGCACUUAUUUACACAUCAGGGAGGCUGAAGAGUUACCAUGGUUUUAGACAAGAGAGCUGCACCAGUGAAUCAUCAGAUUUCCUCCGAUGAUUAAGAGAGCAACGUCUUCCUGAGCAAGCCGGAUGGAAAUGAGGGGUGGGCAGGAUGGGCCGUGUGCAUGUGAAUCAGCCCAGUGUAACUUGUAAAACUGGAGAACAAAUAGAAAAGUUUGGAGGUAGAAACAGGCUUAAGAUGAUUUCAACCAACAUAUUCCUUCACAGGGAUUGGGCAGGGGGGGCAGCGUUAAUAUUGAGCAUAUAGAGACAAGUAAUGAAAAUUUCACUUCUGCAGUCAUUCAAAUGUGUAUUGCAAAUGCUUUAUUAUGCUUGGCUGCAAUUUCAGUACAGUAUCCUUCUGCUAAUUACAAAUACAAUGUAACUUCAAAUAUGCUCAUCAGGAAAAUCUGAAAUUAAACAUUAAACCCUUCUCAUGUAAUAUCUGAAAGAAUCUGGAUGGAGAGUAUUCAGCUCCUACAGCAUGGAGAUGCAAUCAGCUGGGACCUGUCUCUAUACUGAACUGUAAACCGCACAAGAUCUGACUUCUUUGGCAAUUCUGAAGCUAUAUAAUCUACCCCAGUGGUCUUUGUUGUCUGUAUCCCAGUGGUCACAUACCCCAGCUUCAGUUCAGCACAUAAGCCAUGCUAGAAAGCUGUGCUUACCAAAAUAGAGCAGCCCACAUCAUUUUGGUAAGGAAUUUUUUAAGCACGGAAAGCUCUGAUUUUGAGACCGAGGCACUUAAGUCAAUAUUUGCAUGUGUGGAUUUACCAUUUGGAAGGAAUCUUC
ensembl:lncRNA